rnacentral:ncRNA from 19 species
AAUAAAAUAAGAGCAUUAGGUGUUUAGUAACUUAAUAGGGAAAGUUAAAAACUGCAGCCCCCGCUACUGUUGAUAAGGACGAGAAUAAAAAGCCACUGUGAUAAAUAGUCAUGGAAAGGAUUGUUUUAGGAUGAUUUAUUAGCCAGGAGACCUGCCUAGUAUGCUAUUCUUAUU